AGUGGGGAAUAUUGCACAAUGGGCGCAAGCCUGAUGCAGCGACGCCGCGUGAGGGAUGACGGCCUUCGGGUUGUAAACCUCUUUCGCCAGGGACGAAGCGCAAGUGACGGUACCUGGAUAAGAAGCACCGGCUAACUACGUGCCAGCAGCCGCGGUAAUACGUAGGGUGCGAGCGUUGUCCGGAAUUAUUGGGCGUAAAGAGCUCGUAGGCGGUUUGUCGCGUCGUUCGUGAAAACUCCACGCUUAACGUGGAGCGUGCGGGCGAUACGGGCAGACUUGAGUUCGGUAGGGGAGACUGGAAUUCCUGGUGUAGCGGUGAAAUGCGCAGAUAUCAGGAGGAACACCGGUGGCGAAGGCGGGUCUCUGGGCCGAUACUGACGCUGAGGAGCGAAAGCGUGGGGAGCGAA
rnacentral:rRNA from 2 species